UGGGUUGUAGCUCAGUGGUACAGUGCUUAACUGGCAUGUAUGAGGCACUGGGUUCAAUCCUCAGCAUCACAU
rnacentral:tRNA from 1 species